CCAUGUCACUGUUAUGCAGCCUGUGAUUAAACACGCUGUCAGCUGCUGCUGUUUACAGAUAACAAUGCUGCUUUCUCUCAUUCCUACACUAUCAGACUCAUUAGGAAGGUUUAUGGAUAAAUUAGUCAGUCUGGGAUUAAAUAAUGUCUGAAAUGCAUGCACUGAGAAGUGCACCUUCCUGCUCUGGGUAGCCAAAUGUGACAGUGACGUGAGCCACUGCAUGGAGCAGAGGCCCAGCCCCACACCAGGGUAGCCCCCAGAUCUGGAGCCUAAUUGUUAUCUCCAUAUGGGCUCUCUUCAAGGAGACUCUUCCAGGGGUGAGCCCCACAAUUCUGGUACCAGGCUGGAGGCAGUAGUGUCUGGUAGGCAAAAUCCUCUCUGAUGCUUCAUUACAGCAGAUUCUGCAGUACACAUAAAAAGAGGCUCUUUUCCCAUUCUUAUUGCAUGAAACACCCAUACAUUUCCAGAGAAGGUUCCUGGUAGGCUUGGUGCCUGCCUGUUCAAUACAGCAGGAACAAACUGCAGCUGCAGAUGGGAACAGGUUGUUUCUGCCAUUUGUUAUUUUUUCCCUAAUUAUGAUGCAGAUUGGAUGCUCUCUCCAGCAUUCCCUCCCUUUCUGUUUAUUCAAGCAGGAUUUUUGUGAACCUAUAUGCGAAUUUCUUUUCCAGGCCUGGAGUGUCCCAUUAGAAUGGAGCAGAAUUAAUUGCUUCCCAGAGCUGCAGCCAUUUCCCCAGUCCCCUUCUACCACUGAGCCGGGAUGGGAACAGGGCUGGGAUGUGAGGAUCCCUCUCUCCAUCCUCAGGCUGGGGCUGGCAGGAUCUCUGUGGCAGGUAUCUUGGGGGAUGGUGUGGAUGGCAGCUGGCUGGCAGUCUCUCUCUCUCUCCAGGGCUGCUUCUCACCCUGGCAGGGUGGCAGGAGGAGCAGAGGCACCUGCAGGCAUGGAAGGCUGUCCUGCUCUCUGCUGAGCAGUGAGCAAUCUGUAAUUACUGGAGAGCUUUCAGGGAGCUGGACAUAGUAUGCUGGUGCCUUAUUUAGAGUCUGCCCAAGUGCUGAGUCCUGGAGUGUAAAAUGCAGCUAUGAAUUAGCCACAGCUGGAUUAAAUUGCUAAUUAUAAUUUGCAAAGUGUAUUCCCUUCUUCUGUCACUGACAAAUGAAAAAGACUCACUCGGCAUGACCUCCCUGCCACCCUCACCCCGUGACGGGGAGAUAAUUGAUGAAUGUCUUGUGGUGAUUGAGUUACCAAGUGAGUCCUGAAGUGUCUUUCCUCAUUUGUGUGUCAUACAAGUUGCACUUCUGAUUUGCCUGAUGAGAAAGAGCCAGAGUAGCAUCACUCCAUGGAAAUCCACAGCAAUUCAGUGCCCUUGUUGUUGUUGAGGGACAUUUACUGACACGUUAUUGAGGGGCCAGGGAAAUUAGAAAUCUUGGGAAUGCAUUUUAAAUGGUGAUCAGCACAUAGAUAUAAACACGAAAAAGCUCUUAAUAGAGGAAACACCAUAAAACUGGGGAAUCCAGGCCCAAGGUGCACUGGCACUCUGUGGUCCCCCUUUAGGGUGAACAGGGAUGCUCUCCUUAGGAGCAGUGUGAACCAGACUGGCACACACUUCAAAUUUACCAAGAUUUGGGUUGCAGAUUCAGUGCAGUGCAGCUUGGGAGCUGCUGAGGGAGGCCUGGGAGGUGCUCAAGCUGUGGAGGAAACCUGGCACCAGGGCAGGCACUGGCCCUUGCUGUGGCCACUCUGGAGCUUCUUCCCUGGCAUUCAGUGCUGGACACUCACCUCAGAAGCUACACGACCAGCAGGACCAGCCUGUCUAAAACACCUCUGACAGUGAGUGAUGGUCACAUGUUACAGAUCCUUUUGUGAAACAUAACCAGCCUGCUGUAAGACCAUUUCUGAUGUGACUGAAAAUAAAAAUCCUGACGACAGCACUUCAAACAGAACUGCUGCAAAUCUCUAUAAAUGGCUUUAAUGAAACCAGCCAGGAGGAGAAGGAGAGAAAAUCAAAGGAGGGUUAUUUUCACUGUGGUGUCAAAACUAUCUUUCUGUCUCCACUUACAGCAGGUUCCAGUCAGGAGUGGGGAAGGGCAACAGCCCCAGAGCUGGAUGUGAGCAGCAGAGGUGACCAGACAGCCUGCAUACUCCUCUUCCUUCGCCUGCAGAUAAUGGCCCCCUGUUGUGCCACUCAAGGAGCCGGUGGGCAGUGCCAUCUUGGGGAUGCAUCCCUCCGUCCUGUCUCUGGUGUGGCUUUGGGCUCCUGAAGAAAUCCUAGUGUCCAUUAAAGGCUGCUCUGUUUCUCUGUUUUCUUCACACCAGCAGUAACUUUUCAUCUGCUGUUGCUGAAACAAAAUUCAUAAGAUCAUUUUCCCAAAGCAUGAUACUUAAAAUCUUAAUUAAAAUACCUCUAGCUGUUCUAAUACCAAGAUUUUAUAAGUGCUUGGAAUAAUAUUUCAGAUAAAUGGAAAAGCUGUGUGCUUUUAACACAACAGACUUUUCUUCUAGUAAAACAUAUCUAACAUCAAAUCCUCCACAUACUUCCCAAGUCCUCUUCCCUGCUUGGCUUCUCUGUGACAGGAAAGUGCACACGCCUGUGGAGCUUGGUGGUGAAUGGAGCUGUCCCAGGGGUCUGGAUUGAUUUGCUUCAUGACAUUGAUACCUUCCACUGUCCCAGCAGUGAGAUCCAGUGCAUGAGUAUGAAAAGGAGGUGAGAUCCCAUAUAUUACACUGUGAGAGUUGUGUGUCAUGUUAGAGCAAUCUGGCUUUAAAGGACAUCUUUCAAGCACAAACUAGCUUUUUCCCACACCUGACUGAUCACACAAAUAACUGUGAUUAAAGGUCAAGUGCCUGGGUUUUUCUAUUUUGGUCCUUAAAAAUUUAUAUGCGAAAGAAAACCUAGAAGUUAACAUAGCAUGAAAUUGUUAUGCAGUUCUGAGCCUUUAACGACAACUAAAUAUCACUUUUCUUCCUGGGUGGCUUGAGAAAUCUUAAGUAAUAACGGGUCACUUCUUUUGGUUUCCACUUGAGGAAGAUUAUAAAUAAACCCUGUCUUUUGCUUCCCUCCUCUGUAACAUGAUGGGAGGAGGGUUUUGACUGUAUGAACUCAUGCCCCCAGUCAGCAUGGCUGUUCCUGGUCUCACCGGGAGCUCCUGGGCUGCAGGUGCAUGGUAGGAGGGGCUCCAGUGCUGAUGCAGCAGCACACGAAGCACUGAUCCACACUGAGCU